rnacentral:lncRNA from 1 species
GACAGGUACCAGCAGAGGGUCCAUGUGCCCAACAUGACGUUCCUGAAGAUUGAGAACCUGACCCCCGAGGACAGUGGGCUGUACCGGGCUCGAGGCAGCUUCAUUGGAGGAGUAGAACUUACCAAGGUUUUCCACCUCACUGUCUAUGAGCCUGUGCCCAUUCCCCAGAUCCUGGUCCACUCACCAUCCAUCACGCAAGGCUGGUGCAAUGUCACCAUGGAAUGCAGAACCUCAGGGGACACAGAGGACCUGAAGGUGACCCGGGAGGGCAAGGGCCUCCCCAGGCAGCUGGAGGAGAGAGUGACACUGGGACCAGCCCCCAAUUCCUGGACCUUGGCUGUGCACCUUCCCCGGAGCCAGCCCUACACCAACAUCACCUGUGUGGUCAGCAACGAAGUGGACCAGAAAACUGCCACCUUCAACCUUGGGGAAGUCUGCCACCUCGGGGACGCCCAUGGUUCACUUGGAGAGGCGAUUGUUGUUUCCCUACGAGGCAUCCUAGGGUCUGUCGUGGUCAUGGUGUUGGUCCUCAGAGGUGGACUGUACCUUUGGAAGGUACACAGGAAGAAGAAGAAGAUGGAGACUGCAAGAGGAGCAGGAUCGCAAGAGGACUACAGGGUCCGUGAUUGUGACAUCUAGAGUGCAGAACUGAGCCAGCAGGAGUCUCUUGAGG